UACGGGGGGGGCAAGCGUUGUUCGGAAUUACUGGGCGUAAAGGGCGCGUAGGCGGUUUGUUAAGUUGAAUGUGAAAACUCUGGGCUUAACCCAGAGCCUGCAUUCAAUACUGGCAGGCUAGAGUUCUGGAGGGGAUAGCGGAAUUCCAGGUGUAGCGGUGAAAUGCGUAGAUAUCUGGAGGAAUACCGGUGGCGAAGGCGGCAUCCUGGACCGGCAUUGACGCUGAGUGAGCGAAAGCCAGGGGAGCAAACGGG
rnacentral:rRNA from 1 species